GACGUAGGGCGCGAGCGUUGUCCGGAUUUAUUGGGCGUAAAGCGCGCGCAGGCGGUCCUUUAAGUCUGAUGUGAAAUCUUGCGGCUCAACCGCAAGCGGUCAUUGGAAACUGGGGGACUUGAGUACAGAAGAGGAAAGCGGAAUUCCACGUGUAGCGGUGAAAUGCGUAGAGAUGUGGAGGAACACCAGUGGCGAAGGCGGCUUUCUGGUCUGUAACUGACGCUGAGACGCGAAAGCGUGGGGAGCAAACAGG
rnacentral:rRNA from 1 species